rnacentral:rRNA from 1 species
UGCAGUCGACGGGGUCGGAACUUCGGUUCCGGCUUACGUGGCGCACGGGUGAGUAACACGUGGGAAUCUGCCCAUCUAUGGGGAAUAACUGCGGGAAACUGCAGCUAAUACCGCAUACGCCCUUCGGGGGAAAGGCUUCGGCCGUAGAUGGAUGAGCCCGCGUCCGAUUAGCUGGUUGGUGGGGUAACGGCCUACCAAGGCGACGAUCGGUAGCUGGUCUGAGAGGAUGAUCAGCCACACUGGGACUGAGACACGGCCCAGACUCCUACGGGAGGCAGCAGUGGGGAAUAUUGGACAAUGGGCGAAAGCCUGAUCCAGCAAUGCCGCGUGAGUGAUGAAGGUCUUCGGAUUGUAAAGCUCUUUCGACGGGGAAGAUAAUGACGGUACCCGUAGAAGAAGCCCCGGCUAACUUCGUGCCAGCAGCCGCGGUAAUACGAAGGGGGCUAGCGUUGUUCGGAUUUACUGGGCGUAAAGCGUGCGUAGGCGGCUUAUCAAGUCAGAAGUGAAAGCCCGGGGCUCAACUCCGGAACUGCUUUUGAGACUGGUAGGCUGGAGUUCGGGAGAGGGUAGUGGAAUUCCCAGUGUAGAGGUGAAAUUCGUAGAUAUUGGGAAGAACACCGGUGGCGAAGGCGGCUGCCUGGCCCGAAACUGACGCUGA